GACAGAGGGUGCAAACGUUGUUCGGAAUUACUGGGCGUAAAGCGCGUGUAGGCGGCUCUGUAAGUCGGGUGUGAAAUCCCACGGCUCAACCGUGGAAGUGCACUCGAAACUACAGGGCUAGAGUCCUGGAGAGGAAGGUGGAAUGCUUGGUGUAGAGGUGAAAUUCGUAGAUAUCAAGCGGAACACCGGUGGCGAAGGCGGCCUUCUGGACAGUGACUGACGCUGAGACGCGAAAGCGUGGGGAGCAAACAGGG
rnacentral:rRNA from 1 species